rnacentral:lncRNA from 1 species
AAACAGAUUGGUGUACGGGAUGGUGGUGGUUGGUUAGCAGGUAAGAGGAAGUAGAUUGAAAACUAGCAGUUUUAGGAGGCAAGGUGCUAGUAUUCAUGAAAGCUGGUCUUGCACUGAAGGAAGAAUAUCAACUGUUAACUCAAUGGACAAGUUUUUUUUUCUUUUUGAGGGCUCAAUGGACAAGUUUUUGAUAAUCUGUAAAUGAGUAAAAAAUGUAAUGACAAGUAGAAGCAAGGCAACAAAAAUUAAUACAGAAAUCAUACUUUCAACACUCCGCUGCUUCAUCAACUGAACAUGUGCAUACAACAGCAAAGAUAAUUGAAACAGCUACAAUUUCUCGAAUUGCACAUAUUGCAGUGGCGGAUCCAGGGGAGCUG